rnacentral:rRNA from 1 species
UACGGGGGGGGCAAGCGUUGUUCGGAAUUACUGGGCGUAAAGGGCGCGUAGGCGGCUUUUCAAGUCGGGCGUGAAAUCUCCAGGCUUAACCUGGAAGGGUCGUUCGAUACUGUUAAGCUAGAGUGUGGAAGAGGCUACUGGAAUUCCGUGUGUAGCGGUGAAAUGCGUAGAUAUACGGAGGAACACCUGCGGCGAAGGCGGCUGCCUGGACCAGUCCUGACGCUGAGGCGCGAAAGCUAGGGGAGCAAACAGG